rnacentral:rRNA from 1 species
CACAGAGUUAGCCGGUGCUUGCUAAGGAGAUACCGUCAUCAUGUGGAGUAUUAGCCCGCACUAAUUCUUCUCUCCCCACAGAGCUUUACAACCCGAAGGCCUUCAUCACUCACGCGGCGUCGCUGCGUCAGGCUUUCGCCCAUUGCGCAAGAUUCCCCACUGCUGCCUUCCGUAGAAGUCUGGACCGUGUCUCAGUUCCAGUGUGGCUGAUCAUCCUCUCAGACCAGCUACCCGUCUUCGGCUUGGUAGGCCGUUACCCUACCAACUACCUGAUGGGCCGCGGGCUCAUCCUCAAGUGCUAGCUUAUGUAUAGAGGCCAGCUUUGACCGCAGCCUCUUUCGAGGCCGUGGUCUUAUGCGGUAUUAGCACUCCUUUCGGAAUGUUAUCCCCCGCUCGAGGGAAGAUUACCCACGUGUUACUCACCCGUGCGCCACUGUACCGGGGCCGAAGCCCUUUUCUCGUGCGACUUGCAUGUGUUAGGCGCGCCGCGAACG